rnacentral:rRNA from 1 species
GUGGGGAAUCUUGCGCAAUGGGCGAAAGCCUGACGCAGCCAUGCCGCGUGCAGGAAGAAGGCGCUACGCGUUGUAAACUGCUUUUAACCGGGAAGAAACCCCAGGACGUGUCCUGGGUUGACGGUACCGGAGGAAUAAGCACCGGCUAACUUCGUGCCAGCAGCCGCGGUAAUACGAAGGGUGCAAGCGUUAUCCGGAUUCAUUGGGUUUAAAGGGUGCGUAGGCGGAGCGUAAAGUCAGUGGUGAAAUCCUGCAGCUUAACUGUAGACUUGCCAUUGAUACUGGCGCUCUUGAGUGCGCUUGAAGUGGGCGGAAUGUGCCGUGUAGCGGUGAAAUGCUUAGAUAUGGCACAGAACACCAAUUGCGAAGGCAGCUCACUAAGGCGAUACUGACGCUGAGGCACGAAAGCGUGGGGAUCGAACAGGAUUAGAAACCCGUGUAGUCC